AUGAACGCUGGCGGCGUGCUUAACACAUGCAAGUCGAGCGAAGCGAUUUUAAGGAAGCCUUCGGGUGGAAUUAAAAUUGACUUAGCGGCGGACGGGUGAGUAACGCGUGGGUAACCUGCCUCAUACAGGGGGAUAACAGUUAGAAAUGACUGCUAAUACCGCAUAAGCGCACAGUGCUGCAUAGCACAGUGUGAAAAACUCCGGUGGUAUGAGAUGGACCCGCGUCUGAUUAGGUAGUUGGUGAGGUAACGGCCCACCAAGCCGACGAUCAGUAGCCGACCUGAGAGGGUGACCGGCCACAUUGGGACUGAGACACGGCCCAAACUCCUACGGGAGGCAGCAGUGGGGAAUAUUGGACAAUGGGGGAAACCCUGAUCCAGCGACGCCGCGUGACUGAAGAAGUAUUUCGGUAUGUAAAGGUCUAUCAGCAGGGAAGAAAAUGACGGUACCUGACUAAGAAGCCCCGGCUAACUACGU
rnacentral:rRNA from 1 species